UUCUACCUACGGGGGGCAGCAGUGGGGAAUAUUGCACAAUGGGGGGAACCCUGAUGCAGCUACGCCGCGUGAGUGAAGAAGUAUUUCGGUAUGUAAAGCUCUAUCAGCAGGGAAGAAAAUGACGGUACCUGACUAAGAAGCCCCGGCUAACUACGUGCCAGCAGCCGCGGUAAUACGUAGGUGGCGAGCGUUAUCCGGAAUGAUUGGGCGUAAAGGGUGCGCAGGCGGUCCUGCAAGUCUGGAGUGAAACGCAUGAG
rnacentral:rRNA from 1 species